AGGAGGUGUUAAGUAUGGAUUUGAUUGAGUCCCUACUAUACUGUAUAUUCUAUAGACUUUUUAUAAUCAGUUUUUUUAACAAUUGUUCCAAAUGUUUAAUGUCUUAUUCUGUUUUUCCAGUGGAACCAUUGCAGUGUUUUUCAUGUGAUCCACCAUGCACAAAUCCAGGUUUAACUUCUUGUAUAUCAGGCUCAGUAUGCAUGACGACGACCAGGCUAGAUGGAAACACAGGUGCAGUAAUGAAGAGCUGCAGACCAUCCUUGGAUUGAACGUUUGAACAUUCAAUGCGUUCAUCCUUGAACUUUGAACGUUCGGUUUUCUUAUUCCUUCAACACUGGUUUCUUCCAGCAGUCUGGAUCUGAGCUCUGCUCUGACUCAGACAGACGCAACCAGCAGUCUCAACCUGUCACUAGUUCAGUGCCAAAUGGCCUACAGUGUGAUUCCUGCAGUAGCUCCUCAGACACUGUGUGUAACACCUCGGCACUGUGUGUCGGACUGGAGGAUACAUGUGCUGUGG